GAUGAACGCUGGCGGCGUGCCUAAUACAUGCAAGUCGAGCGAACAGACGAGGAGCUUGCUCCUCUGACGUUAGCGGCGGACGGGUGAGUAACACGUGGAUAACCUACCUAUAAGACUGGGAUAACUUCGGGAAACCGGAGCUAAUACCGGAUAAUAUAUUGAACCGCAUGGUUCAAUAGUGAAAGACGGUUUUGCUGUCACUUAUAGAUGGAUCCGCGCCGCAUUAGCUAGUUGGUAAGGUAACGGCUUACCAAGGCAACGAUGCGUAGCCGACCUGAGAGGGUGAUCGGCCACACUGGAACUGAGACACGGUCCAGACUCCUACGGGAGGCAGCAGUAGGGACUCUUCCGCAAUGGGCGAAAGCCUGACGGAGCAACGCCGCGUGAAUGAUGAAGGUCUUCGGAUCGUAAAACUCUGUUAUUAGGGAAGAACAAAUGUGUAAGUAACUAUGCACGUCUUGACGGUACCUAAUCAGAAAGCCACGGCUAACUACGUG
rnacentral:rRNA from 1 species